GCCCGGAUAGCUCAGAUGGUAGAGCAACUGCAUGGUAAGCAGUAGGUCAGCGGUUCGAGUCCGCUUCCGGGCU
rnacentral:tRNA from 1 species